GUGAAUAGAAAGGAGGCUUCAAAGGAAAAUGAGUUAUUUUAUGUGUUUUUUAAAAGUUAUAAACAAGUUACCUUGUUCCACAUAGAAAAGCCCAGUAAAAAAGACUGCAUAGGUCAAGCGUCCAUUAGGAGAAAGAGGUGCUUCCCAUUUGAGCUUGACUUCCCGGGGUCCCUCCAGGAUUACAAAUACUGUUACUGCUCCUUCAGGAGGUGCCUCAUUUGUUCUAUUUUCUACCUGUGAAUAUAAAGUUGGCUUUUUAUUUGUGAACGAAAGAAACACGUCUUUUUCUCUGAAUAUAUUUCUUCAGAGAAUCCCUUAUUGUGUGUGAAAUAAACUAUUUUGACAGGAGCAGCUUGUCUGAGUGCUACAUGCUGCCAUACGAAUCAAAACAAAACCCAUGUUUGCUGUCUCCUGCUACUUUGCUUGGUAUGCAUGGAAUGACAGCUACCUUGGGCUUUCUGCUGAUUUUACCAGUCUAUCAAAAAAGCCAUCCCAAUCAGUUUGACUGA
rnacentral:lncRNA from 1 species